ensembl:lncRNA
UUACAAAUACACAGAUAUUAUUUAUUCAAUUAUGAUUUCGUUACAUGUGCUUGUUUCAUUUCUCAAAAGCAUUCACACUAAAUAUGUUUUUAUCUUUGCCUUGUAUCUGUAGGUUCAGGCGGUUAAUUUUCUCUCUCAGUCACAUCUGUCAGGAAACCAAGAUCAAGCAGCAACUCAGGUGACUCUGACUGUUCUACAGAAAUUAGAGUACGUCGCAACACAGUUUAUAAUGCAUCAGCUGGACAACAACUUUGGAUUAAUUGCCCAGUAUUUUUUUGCAAUGAUUCACCAACAACAGUCACCUGGUAUAAAGUUGAGGAAGCUAUUGUCCCCGUCGAUGUCAGCGGUGACAGUCACAUUAAAACAGAGUUGAAACCUUUAAACAAAUCAGUAUGGAUCUUCUAUUUGAUCUUCCAGAACAUUCUCAGACAUGACUCUGGUCAGUAUCAGUGUCAAGGUGGAGGGAGUAUGGGUCAUGCCAUCACUGUCAAUGUCUAUGAUCAUGCUGAAAUUACCACUAUUACACAGAAUAAUCUCACAGAUCAUGGUGAAAUUACCACUGUUACACAGAAUAAUCUCACAGUCAGCACGACUUCUGUUCCUGACAAUACAGAAACCUUGUUGCUGUACGUGUACUCUGCUGCUGGGAUCACCACAUUCGUCAUCAUAGUCAUAAUCAUAUCUGUCAUAUCAAUGCGAGGCUGUAAAGGGAAGCCAAAGAAAGACAGUCAAGUUGAAAAUCAGAUGGAGAUCCCCAUGGUGGAUCAAUUCUUUUCAAAAGUCAUCUUCAAGCACUUGGAAAGAGGAAAGAGGAAGACCCUCUGCUCUGCGAUCUCGGAGAUGUAACAAGGACACCAUCAUCGUAACUCAAUGAGCUGACAUUAUCAAGAUAUGAUGAACAGGCAUAUUGACCAAGGAGGGCAAUAUGCCUGCUCGAGGAGGAGAGCAGCUAUGUUGUGUUUGCUGCUCCCAACCACAAGCUGUACAAUUAGCAGGUGAUGCAAAGAUUUACUUGAAGUGUAAAAUACAACCUGUAAACCAUAAGCAGUCAUCUCCAGGGCUGAAAAAUGAUGUCCAAGUGCCAAAGCCUGCAAUUCUUUAAAUGUCCACUUGAGGCGGUCUCAAAGUUUACAGCAGAAAUAAACAUGGUUACAGGAUGGUACAAGAAAAUGGUUUUGGUCUCUGUGGCUAAUUUCCCAGUUUAUUUCAUUAGCUUGUCAGAAUCCUGGAGUUUUCGAUCCAGCCUUUUCAGUUUUUCUACUUUCAAUUUCUGUCAUUUUUAUUUUUUCUGUCUGACUUCUAGUCAUAUAAUUAAACAAAUUUUUUUUAAAUCUCUAUUAGUUAUUUCUUGUUGAUUUUGUUAUAUAGCCUAAGGCUUUUUUUCUUGAAGUUUCUGUCUUCUGUUCCUUAUUUUAGUUUUUUUCGUCCCCAUGUUUGUCCAUAUCUUGUUUAUUCUCCAUCAUAUUGUUAGAUGUUCCUUUAAUUACCUACUUCCUGUUUUAUUUUGCUAGUCUUGCAUGUGUUGUGUUCAGUUUUGCUUUUGACUUUGUUCAACUGUCUCAUCCUCCCCAUCUCCCCCCAUCUGUCCACUUCCCCUAAUUGCCCUUCUUUGCACAUAAAGUUGCUCUCUCUCCUUGUCCUUUGUCAGUGUCUGUUCUAUCCUACUAUUGUUAGCCUUAGUAUGUUUUCUAGUUUUUGGUUCAUUGUCCAUUUUUAUUAUUUUGUACUUGUUUUAAGUUUUGUACAACCUGCUUUCAGUCCACAAUAAAUGGCUUGCAUUCAAA